rnacentral:rRNA from 1 species
UCUUUCGUGCAUCUGCUCCAGGAUGGGACUGCGUCCGAUCAGGCUGUUGGCGGGGUAAUGGCCCACCAAACCUGUAACCGGUACGGGCCUUGAGAGAGGUGGCCCGGAGAUGGACACUGAGAGAAGGGUCCAGGUCGUACGGGGCGCAGCAGGCGAGAAAGUGUACAAUGCGCGAAAGCGUGACGAGGUUAAUCGGAGUGGUGCCGCUGAGGAGGUCUUUGUCAGCUGUAAAUAGGCAGGAGAAUAAUGCA